GGUGAGUAACACGUGGGUAACCNGNCUGUAAGACUGGGAUAACUCCGGGAAACCGGGGCUAAUACCGGAUGGUUGUUUGAACCGCAUGGUUCAAACAUAAAAGGUGGCUUCGGCUACCACUUACAGAUGGACCCGCGGCGCAUUAGCUAGUUGGUGAGGUAACGGCUCACCAAGGCGACGAUGCGUAGCCGACCUGAGAGGGUGAUCGGCCACACUGGGACUGAGACACGGCCCAGACUCCUACGGGAGGCAGCAGUAGGGAAUCUUCCGCAAUGGACGAAAGUCUGACGGAGCAACGCCGCGUGAGUGAUGAAGGUUUUCGGAUCGUAAAGCUCUGUUGUUAGGGAAGAACAAGUACCGUUCGAAUAGGGCGGUACCUUGACGGUACCUAACCAGAAAGCCACGGCUAACUACGUGCCAGCAGCCGCGGUAAUACGUAGGUGGCAAGCGUUGUCCGGAAUUAUUGGGCGUAAAGGGCUCGCAGGCGGUUUCUUAAGUCUGAUGUGAAAGCCCCCGGCUCAACCGGGGAGGGUCAUUGGANACUGGGGAACUUGAGUGCAGAAGANGAGAGUGGAAUUCCACGUGUAGCGGUGAAAUGCGUANAGAUGUGGAGGAACACCAGUGGCGAANGCNACUCUCUGGUCUGUAACUGACGCUGANGAGCGAAAGCGUGGGGAGCGAACAGGAUUANAUACCCUGGUAGUCCACGCC
rnacentral:rRNA from 1 species